UAUGCACAGAUGGAUUUAGUCCGGUUGGAAUGUCAGGGAGACAAUAUUCAUUGUGGCCAGUUUUUCUUACGCCAUACAACCUGCCACCGGAGAUGUGCAUGCAACGGGAGUUGCUAUUCUUGACCAUAUUAAUACCUGGUCCGAACCAUCCAAAAAGGUCCCUGGAUGUUUUCCUACAUGCGGACCUUUGUAAUUCGUCGUUAUUUCCUCGUAUAAUAAAAAACAGGCCUUUGUAAUUUCUCGUAACUUUACAAGGAAAUGAAGAGGACAUGUAAUCUUAUAUAUACCCCCGAGGGCUCGCUCUUUCUUUCCUCUCCACUUCUUCUCCACUUCCUCUCUAUUUCGUAGCAAUGGUAAGUCUCUCUAAUUCCCUAUAAUUUGAUUAGUUUAGGAUAGAUUAGGUGGUUAGUAUAGCGAAUUUAUAUAGGUUUACGGAUUUUAUGUUAAUUAGUGUUGAUUAGGUGGAUAAUGUAGGGAACUAUACUGUUGAUGUUAAUUAUUAAAAUUUAAAUUUUUUUCCAGGUUCGAAAGAACAUACUUACUGUCCAUUACAGAGAGAUGUUCGGUGAGCCGGGUAGUCGUUUAGACCCGUCUUCUUCAGCUGCCGGUUCUUCUUCAGCUCCCGGUUCUUCGGGUCAGGAGACUGUCCUCGAGACUCAGUCUUCUCCGAGAGUCUCUCGGUCUCCUUCUUCUAGUGCACCAUCGGUUCCUCAUGUGCCUCCCCCAAUGGCUCAUCCGACGAUGCCACCUCCUGUGCCUCCUCCGAUGGCACCUCCGAUGCCCGCCGAAAUUCAUCCCGAUUUGAUGGUGCCUCUGAGUGAUCCUUACUCGCAGUACACUGUAAAGGACAUUCUCCGUCUGCCAGGCAGAGAAGGUUUACCAGUCAUCGAUCCCGACCGACCGGACGGAACUUUGUGGCAUGUUACAUUAAUUUUUUUUAAUUCGUUUAAAAUUCUUUUAUAACAUUAAAAAAUAAUUUAUAUUUUAAAUUUGUUUUUUUUCAUAUUUGGGGUUGACGGAUGUCUUGCAUCGGACGUAACCGUUACGAUCAAAGGUUACUUCUCCAUGCCACAUCCGAACUGGAGUAAAACGCCUCACUACGUCAGAAGUACGUGGUUCAAAAUUUAUGCCGUAAGUUUCUAUUAAUUAAAUAUAUAUAUAUAUAUAUAUACUUUAAUUUUUUCAAGAUUUAUAUAUAUAUAUUUCUUUUUUAAAAACUAAUUAUUAAUUUAUUUUUUCCAACAACAAAAAUAUAAUUGGGCCUGGGAGAUCACUGAGACGGUGAGGAAGAAGUUUAUCGCAUAAGCGAAAGUUUGCUUGUUGGAUACGGUCUCCAACUGGAAAGGUGACUGGAUCGUGAAGGGGUAUGAGCGUGGAAAACCCGCUGAGCUCACUACGAUGUGUGGGAUGGCCUCAUCCGAUAUUGGCGUAUUCCUGAUUCCAUUAGAAUCGCCCAGUCUUGCUCUAACUCCCGUAACACGGUCGAUGAGAACGGGAACGGGCCGACGCUUCACACUACGGGCCAAAAACCACACGCCGGUGUCCGUUUGGAAAUGGUAAUUAAAUAUUUCAUUAAAUAAAAAUUUUAAUAUAUUUAAAUAUUUUAAUAUUUUAACUUUCUUAAAUAUUUUUUAGGCCAAAGAGACGGGACAUUUUCCGUCUCUUGUGGACUUUACGAGAAGACCCACAAGAACAAGGCGGGCGUAUUUCUAGAUGGCAAGUCCGAGCAAAUCUACAACGACUUGGUUGCUCGUGUUGAAGACCGCCAGACCCAGCUGACCCAGCAGUCGACCGACGGAUUACCCGUCACCUUAUCCACACUUGAAGUGGAUAAGAUUUACGAGGAGGUAAAUUUUUUAAUUAAAAUUUUUUAUUUUUUUUCUUAUUCAUUUAAUUUAACUUUAAAUUUUUACAAACAAUAUUUUUUUUUUAAGAUUGUCCCUAAAAAAAAGGGACGGACGUUGGGGACUGGUUUUGUCAACGAUGUUCCGAGAGCGACAUCGUCUUAUGGUCAGCGACGGGAUGAUGAAGUCUCUCAGCUGCGUAGAGAGUCCGAUGAGCUGCGUAGAGAAUCCACUGAGCUGCGUCACGAGUUGACCUCGACGCGAUCUGCGUUCACAGCUCGUGUGGGUGGACUCGAGGGCUUCUUGGACGUUGUAGCGGCCACAAAUCCGGAAUGGGAGACCUUGUUAAGGAACAUGAGACAGCAAAAUCCUAUUCAAGGCGAGUCAUCAUCCGACACACAUGCCGAGGCGGAUGUAGCGAGGAGGAGUGAUGAAUUCUACCGGUCGAUGAACGACUCUUAGUUCUUUUUUAUUCGGUUGUUGUAUUAUAAAUUCAAAACUUAUUUAUACAUAAAAAAUUUUGGUUUUGAUUUUUUAGAAUUUUAAUUUUAUUAAUAAAUUAAAUAAUUUUAAUUAUUUUUUAAUUAUAUUUUAAUAUUUCUGUAAAAUAAUGAAACGAAGUAAAUUCGUAGCUAACGUUGCGACUUCUUUACGUGGAAGUUUAACGAGUUCUUUACGAGGAAGGCUUUACAAGGAAAUGACGUGGAAAACUAAACUUGUUCUUUACGAGGAAAACUUUCAAGGUAUUUACGUGUACUUUACGAGGAUUUAUUUUUGAGUUAUUUACGUCUGUUUUGCGAGGAACUCAUUUCGAGGUAUUUACGAGGAAACUUAGCGACGUUCUUAUGUGGAAGCUUUACGUAGUCUUUACGACGAAAUAUUAUUCUUCGUUUUUACGACGAAAUCAUUUACUCGCUAUGUUACGAUGAAUUAGCGAGGAAAUAUGCGUUACGACAAACUUAUAACGACGAAAUGGGUUUCCUCGCUAAUUCCUCGUAAACAUGUUUUUACGACGAAAUCACGAGGAAAACCGCCCUCGUAAAUCUUUUGUUUUCUUGUAGUGAAUAGAUUAACUCUAUUAUAGAGUUGGAUUUACUCAUACGUUUACUUUAUUGAGUUAUUCUAUAAUAGAGUAAAAUAUAGAGUAAUGUUGUUUUUUUACUCCAAAUAUAGAGUAAAAAAAAACAACAUUACUAUAUAUUUCACUCUGUUAUAGAAUAAUUUUAUUUUAAAGUGAAUCGUUAUAACAAAUUAAACUCUAUAAUAGAGUUACUUUAUUUUAAAGUGAAAUAUAGAUAUAGUUUUUGUGUACAUUGGAGAUGCCCUUAGACCAUCUCCAAUGGCUUACUCUAUUUUUUACUUUAAAAUAGAGUAACUCUAUAAUAGAGUUUGAUUUUGCUCCAAUGGUACUCUAUUUUAGAGUAGAAAAUAUAGUGAUGAACAAAGAAAAAACAAAUUACUCUAUAUUUGGAGUAAACAUAUUUUUCACUCUAUUAUAGAGUGAGAAAAAGAGUACCAUUGGAGCAUUUUUUACUCUAAACUCUAUUUUAGAGUGAAAAAUAGAGUGGGGUUGGAGAUGCUCUUACUCUAUAUUUCACUCUAUUAUAGAGUAACUUUAUUAUAAAGUGAACAAUUGGAACAAAUUCAACUCUAUAAUAAAGUUACUCUAUUUUAGAGUGAAAUAUAGAUAAAAUUUUUGUGUACCAUUGGAGAUACCUUUAUGAAACUGAAAAAAUAACUUAAAACUGUAACUUUGACAAAUAAACGUUUUACUCACUCUAUUUCACAAAGAAUGUCACGUAGACAUUUUUCACACUAAAAAACUGAUUGAAACGCAUUUAUAUUUUCAUUAAUGUCAUAUAUUUACUCAAUGGCAUUUUAGAUAAAUAAAUUUAUUUAUAAAAUCAAUGCAUUUUACAAUUAAUAUUGAGCUAAAAAUAAGUAGUUGACAAAAAAAAGUAUAAACUGCAUUGAAAUUGUAGAAUUAUAUUUUUUAUGUAACAAAAAAAAUAUCGUAAAGUGACACUUAAUAUAAAACGGAAAACAUCAUUUUUAGACUCUAGCCUUAGUUAAGUUAAACAAAAAAAUUUUCUCACCUUUGAACAGACGCGUUUCUCUCAAUUAAUUUUCUAAAAAUUUAUUUUUUAGUUUUCGGAGGGGUUCUAUCCAAUUCUGGCACCUAUGUCGGACGGUCGAAAGUUCUCUCCCCCGCGUUUCUCCAAUUUUUUAAUUAAGAUAAACAAGUUUUAUCUUUUUAUCUGAAAGAAUCACUUUCUUCACAAAAAAGAUUUAAAACUUUUUUUCUUUAUUACAAGUCUAAUGGGAAAAUGAAUACAUGCCAAAGUAAUCAAAAUUAAAAGGAUUUUUUACGUUAAAAACUCCCCAAAUAAGUUUGUUUUGGAUAAAAACUUUCAAACUAAGUAUUUAACUAACCCCUUCCAAACUAACUUUAUUUAAUGGAUUAAAUCCUAACCGGUUAUAAUUACCAUUACUACUAGUAAAUUUUUAUUUUGGGGUUUCUACAUUAAGUAAACAUAGUUGAGGAGUUUUACCAUUAAAAAUCUAAAAAACCAAAAGAAUUCAAAAUUAUAUAAUAUUAUCUAAAAAUUAGUAACUUAAAUUUUCAAAAAUUAGCAUUUUUUUUUUGUAAAUAUAUGAGUUUGAUGUGUUUUUAACAUCAACAUUAUAUAUGUAUAAAUUAAAAAUGUAAAACCCAGAAAUAUAAUAAAAGUUAUCUACAGAUUUAUUAUUACAUUUUUAUUAGAUAAGAUAUAUUUUUUAUUAUAUUUUCUUGUUUUUUACAUUUUUAAUCUUUUAGUAAUUUUAUUACAGGUAAAUCUUUAGAUAAUUUUUUAUUAUAUUUUCUAGGUUUGUACAUUUUUAAUUUAUACAUAUAUAAUAUUGAUGUUAAAAACACAGCAACUCAUAUAUUUACAAAAAAAAAAAUUAAAAAUCGUAAUUUUGAAAAUUUAUGUUACUACUUUUUAGAUAAUAUUAUAAAAUUUUAAUUUUUUGAUUUUUAAUAUUUUAAUGGUAAAAUCCCUCAAUUAUGUUUACUUAAUGUAAAAACCCUUAAACUAAAGAUUUAGCAUUAGUAAUGGUAAUUAUGAUCUGGUAGGGUUGAAUUCAUUAAAUAAAGCUAGUUUGGGGAUCUUUCGUUAAAUACUUAGUUUGAAGAUUUUUAACCAACACAAACUUAUUUAAAGGGUUUUAACGUUAAAAGUCCUAAUUAAAAUUGAAGUUUAUGUCCCUUCAUGAUAAUCACAAUACUAAAAGCCAGAUAUCCUGAGUUUUUAGGCUGUCCACGUCCCCAAAGAAAAUCGACCAAUGGGAAGUUGUUUUUUUGUCACAUCACACACGGAUGUGACACGUGUCUCUUCUUUAAAAAAAAAUUUAGAUUCGUGACUUCUAUUGGGGUCAUACGGGAAAAGUUUUGGCCCGUUAAAAAUUGGUUCUUUCGUCCUUCUAUCUUCUUCACGAUGCGUUGUUCCUAAGGUUCCUCGUAUUUCCUCGAAGCUUUGAUAAGUUCCAGCGUUAAUGAAUGCGAGUGAGACGAAUGUUGCGAAGAAGCUCUCUGUCAAGCUUCGAUUUGUCGUUUCGUCUUUGAUUCUUAUCGGUGACGUUACGAGAUUCCUUGAUUCAUCCCCUUUAAGAAACUUCUUAACUCCAUCAAGCACGAUGUCUCAUUCAAUGGGUGGUGGAUCUCCACCUAUAAAAAGAAAUUUUGAUCGAGUUCAGACAUUGAAACAAAGUUGAUCUCAGCUGAUAAUGGCAAGGAGACUCCAACUUCUUUGAUUCUUACAACUUCCAAUUCAAAGUUUCGAGAGAGAUUGUUGGACCCAAGAGAAGCAAGCAUGAUUAAGCUGGAAGCAAUAAAAACUUAACGGAGACGUGUAUGUGGGAUAUCACAAUGUUGAAGUUGAUUCUUAGAUGCAUCAACGUGGUUAGCUCCAACACGAUCGUAGCCAGUUGAUUGGUAGCCUUGAGGUGUCAAUCGAUACAAAGCUUCAAACAUCCACUGUGAAGAUUGACAGUGUUUAUUUUGGCCACUAUAUCUCUCUAACAAUCAUGGUUAAGUUAUUUGUCACCAAUCUAUGUUUAUGCUUGUGUUGGUUGUUGCAAAAGAUCUGUUUCUCUAACCCCAUAAUAAUCAUUUCAGAUUUUGAACUGGCAUGAGAGGUUAAUCCGAGUUCGGAUUGAUCGAGUAUGCUGUUAUACGCUGAUAAAGAUUUGAUUCCCUUUUUCUAUCGCAAUGUCUCUUUUAGUAUAUCAAUAUAUGCGUCUAUAUUUCUACUUCAGUGACCCAUAAUUUUAUUAGUCGGCAGACCGUUGCUGCCUAACUGACUCUAAAAGCUUUGUGCUGACAGGUAAAGGGCAUCUGAAGUACUUCUACAAUCCUGUGUAUACACAUUAAAAGUUGGUUAGUAUCAGUUUGAGUGGUACUCCAUCAGUGGCUCUUCUCUGGGACCCAUGAAACAGACCGACUGCUGCAGAGGCUCUGUACGUCCCGUUCUUUCAGAUUCAACCGCAAGUGUGGCCAGAGAUAGUCCCCCUGAAACGACGAUACCAAUGGGAUAAAGUGUUGUAGUCGGAUUUUUUGAAUACCUUAAGUUGAGUAGCGGUAUGAACUAGAGCAGAGUGAUCUGCGGCCACUACAUCUUGAAGAAUAAAAAUGGAAGGAGUGAGGCCAAAAAAAAAAAAAAGACAUGCGAGGGAGUGACGGAGUGAGGGAGAGAGGGGGAGAGAGGUGAGUGCAGGUAAAAAGUAAAAUCAUGUUGUGAACAUUAAUCUAAAAAGUAAAAUCAUGCUGUGAACAUUAAUCUGCAUCGAAGUUAAUUUAACUGCUUCCACCGUAAUAUUUUAUUUUUCUUUUGCGUUGGUUUUAUUCUGGAUGAAGAAUAGAAAGAUUAAUCAAGUGUUGUGAUGCAGAUGUAGCUAUCAUUGGAUAACUAUUUACUUCAGGUUUGGAAGAUCACCAUGAGGAAUUUCCCCUGAGAAGUUGUUUGCAGGGUUCAAGACUCUAAGUCUGGCCAAACUUGAAAGAGAGGCUGAGAUGCUUCCCUUGAGUUUUUUAAAUAUCAAGAACCUUAAGAUUCUUUAACUCCUGGAAAAUCGCUGGUAAUGGACCCGGAAAGUGAUUAAGUGUAAGAUAGAGAUGAGUCAGGUUCUUGAGGUUGAUGAUAGAAACUGGCUUUUGAUUCUAUCUGUAACAAAUAAUUCUUUAGCUGGAGAAUAUUUGCUGAUAAAAUAUGUGUUGUGUUGUGAAACUGGAAAGAUACGCGGGCAAUGUAUAGCCGGUAAAAAAUAUAUGUUUUACAGUCCAGAAAAAAAUUGACGGAGCCAUUAACAAAUCGUGAUCAUUUCUCUUCGUUUAAGUUUUUGAUUGUUCUGUUAUUUGAUUCUUGCGUGAAAAAAUUCCCACUGGUGUAACAAUUUCUUUAUAAGUGAAAAUAGGAAUAUAUUGAUAAACAUGUUGAAAAAGGUUGAAAUAAUCUACAACAUCUUAAAAUUAAUGAUAAAAGGAUAAGAACGUUGUAGAAUUUAAAGGAAAAGAUGAAAUCCUAUUUAGUAAAGAAGAUUAUUCAAAAUUGAUAAUAGAAUAAGACAAUAGAACAAUAAAGAAAGGAGCUUGACAUAUUAAGAAUGGAUUAAAUUGUUUGUCUUUAAAAAAAAUAAAGAAAUUGGUUAUCUUUUGACCAGAAAAUAUUGGUGUCGCAAUUGUUUAUUCAUUGAGAAAAAGCCUUACUUACAUAUCAUGCAUUUAAAAAUAAAUGUCAAAAUACAUAUUAUGCAUUAUCAUAUGACAUCCAAAGACAACUACAAUAUAGAAUUUUAACCACAAUACAUAAUUUGUUAUACUUUGUUAAUAACUAUUUUCUCAAGAAAAUAACAAUAUUAUGCAAAUACUAUUAUGACAAUUGUUCAAAAAUUGAUUAUAUAUAUAUAUAUAUAUAUAUAUAUAUAUAUAUAUUGGAAAAUUAGAUGGUCCAAAUAAAUCAAAAUAUAUGUAGGGCAGGUUGAAGAAAAAAACUUCAAAAGAGAAAUGUUCUAAUUUGUGUAUAUUUAAAAAUUAUUUUACAGUAAAUAUAAAUAAGCAAGAUAAAAAAAUUCAGAACAUAACUAAGAUUAAUUCAUUAUUUAUUCAUUAUCUUUAUUAUGUUAUACAUAGUUUCUAAUAAUGAAAAUAAUUUUAAAAUUGUCUAAAAGGCAUAUAUUUUUAUAACACAUAUAUAUAUAUAUAUAAAUAUAAAUAGCAAACAAAUAACAAAAAUUAUAGGAAAAUUCCGGGCGUAUCCCGGACCCGACCCUAGUCUAACUAUACUAAAAGGCAAAUAUCAAGCCUUCUGAGAUGGUCCACGUCGGACUGGAAAUUCAUCCAGUAAGAAAUCAGCGUUCGGCCAUGUCAUCAACGAGUUGGUUCAAGUUGGGCUUCGGGUGUAUUUUGCGACCCGCUUAUUUGGGCUUCUGUUUAUUUUGGCCCACAUGUGUUGUGUUCGUGUUUCGGAGACGCAAAGACGGCGUAACCUAAGUUCCUUCUUCCCCUACCUUUCAACUUUCACCUCUUC